rnacentral:pre_miRNA from 2 species
UAACUACUCCCUUCGUCCGAAAAUACUUGUCCAAGGAAUGAAUGUAUUUACAUGUAUUUCAGUUUUAGAUACAUUCAUUUCUAUUUAUUUUUACGACAAAUAAUACGGGAUGGAGGGAGUAUAUG